UGCUCAGCGUGCGCGGGCAUCCGGUGGGUGCGGGAGGCCCGAGGCCAGGCAGGCAGGGAGUCCGUAGCGAGGGGCUGGUUACUGCCAGGACGGAGCGCAUCGCCUCGGGCCGACCCCGGGGUCCGCGAGGACUCCUGGGGACGAGCAGUGUGGGGCACCUGCCGCGGGGGGCCCAGGCGCUAAAGGUGGAGAGAAGGAACGCACUCGCGGCGGGCGCCUGGCCGGGACGGACGCGGCCAGCCUCGCCCGCGACGGUAGGGGACUUCCAGGGCGAGGGGGCCCAUCUGCCCUCGGGCGCCAGGAGGAUGCUCCAGCUCCUGGUGCUGAAGAUUGAAGAUCCAGGUUGCUUCUGGGUUAUUAUAAAAGGGUGUAGUCCCUUUUUAGAUCAUGAUGUCGACUAUCAAAAAUUAAAUAGUGCCAUGAAUGACUUCUACAGCAGCACAUGUCAAGAUAUAGAAAUAAAACCAUUAACAUUGGAAGAAGGACAGGUGUGUGUGGUCUAUUGUGAGGAGCUAAAGUGCUGGUGCAGGGCCAUUGUCAAAUCAAUUAUGUCUUCCGCAGACCAGUACCUGGCAGAAUGUUUCCUUGUGGACUUUGCCAAGAACAUUCCAGUCAAAUCUAAAAACAUCCGAGUUGUAGUAGAAUCAUUUAUGCAGCUUCCCUAUAGAGCAAAAAAAUUCAGCCUGUACUGCACAAAGCCUGUCACAUUACACAUUGACUUCUGCCGAGACAGUACUGACAUUGUACCUGCCAAGAAGUGGGACAGUGCAGCUAUUCAGUACUUUCAGAACCUUCUGAAAGCAACUACCCAGGUAGAAGCCAGAUUAUGUGCUGUGGAAGAAGAUACAUUUGAGGUUUACCUUUAUGUAACUAUAAAAGAUGAAAAAGUUUGUGUUAAUGAUGAUCUUGUUGCAAAGAACUAUGCUUGUUAUAUGUCACCUACAAAGAAUAAAAACCUUGAUUAUUUAGAAAAACCAAGAUUGAAUAUAAAAUCAGCACCCUCCUUCAAUAAACUCAAUCCAGCACUUACACUCUGGCCAAUGUUUUUGCAAGGAAAAGAUGUUCAAGGAAUGGAAGAUUCACAUGGUUUAAAUUUUCCGGCACAAUCUCUGCAGCAUACAUGGUGCAAGGGUAUUGUCAGUGACCUCAGGCCAACAGCCACAGCACCGGACAAAGCUGUAAAAUGUAAUAUGGAUUCAUUGAGAGAUUCACCUAAAAACAAAUCUGAAAAGAAGCACCAUUGCAUCUCUUUAAAAGAUACAAAUAAGCAUGUUGAAUCCUCAGCUUACUGGCCAGCAAAAAGAGGCAUAACCAUAUAUGCUGAUCCAGAUGUACCAGAAGCAAGUGCUUUAAGUCAGAAGUCAAAUGAGAAACCUCUUAGAUUGGCUGAGAAGAAAGAAUAUAAUGAGAAGAAUAGCUGUGUGAAAUUACUGCAGUUUUUAAAUCCUGAUCCUUUGAGAGCUGACGGAAUCUCUGAUCUCCAGCAGUUGCAGAAGCUGAAGGGCCUGCAGCCGCCCAUGGCAGUGCUCCGGAACAAGAUCGAGCCCUGCUUAACCAUUGGCUCGUCGCCGCUGUCAGCAGACCUGAAGAAGGCUCUUCAAAGAAAUAAGUUUCCGGGCCCCAGCCACACUGAAUCUUACUCUUGGCCUCCCAUAGCGCGUGGCUGUGAUGUGGUUGUCAUUUCUCAUUGUGAAAGCAACCCUUUGCUCUACCUCCUACCAGUGUUGACAGUUUUGCAAACAGGAGCCUGCUAUAAGUCAUUACCAAGUAGAAAUGGACCUCUCGCAGUCAUUUUGUGCCCUGGGUGGAAGAAGGCCCAAUUUAUUUUUGAAUUAUUGGGAGAAUAUAGCAUGUCCUCCAGGCCUCUUCAUCCUGUGCUAUUAACAAUUGGGCUCCAUAAAGAGGAAGCCAAAAAUACAAAGCUUCCAAGGGGCUGUGAUGUGAUUGUUACGACCCCAUACAGCCUGCUGAGGCUUCUCGCCUGUCAGAGCCUGCUGUUCCUCAGGCUCUGCCACCUGAUCCUGGAUGAGGUAGAGGUGCUGUUCUUGGAAGCCAAUGAACAGAUGUUUGCUAUAUUAGAUAACUUUAAAAAAAAUAUUGAAGUUGAAGAAAGGGAAUCUGCACCACAUCAGAUUGUUGCAGUUGGAGUUCAUUGGAACAAACAUAUAGAACAUCUCAUCAAAGAGUUCAUGAGUGAUCCCUACAUUGUGAUCACAGCCAUGGAAGAGGCUGCUCUCUAUGGCAAUGUCCAACAGGUAGUACAUCUUUGCCUAGAAUGUGAAAAAACUUCUACUUUACUCCAAGCUCUUGAUUUUAUUCCAAGUCAGGCACAAAAGACCUUGAUCUUCACCUGCUCUGUAGCUGAAACAGAAAUAGUGUGUAAGGUAGUAGAAAGCAAUUCAAUAUUUUGCUUGAAGAUGCAUAAAGAAAUGAUUUUUAACUUACAAAAUGUUUUAGAACAGUGGAAGAAGUUAAGUUCUGGCUCUCAAAUUAUAUUAGCCCUCACAGACGACUGCGUCCCACUCUUGGCCAUCACCGAUGCCACGUGUGUGAUUCACUUCAGCUUCCCUGCCUCGCCAAAAGUUUUUGGUGGACGCCUGUAUUGCAUGUCUGAUCAUUUUCACGCUGAACAGGGUUCUCCUGCAGAACAGGGAGAUAAGAAAGCCAAAUCUGUCUUGCUGCUGACGGAGAAAGAUGCGAACCACGCGGUGGGUGUCCUGCGCUACUUGGAGCGAGCGGACGCCAAGGUCCCCGCAGAGCUGUACGAGUUCACCGCAGGAGUUCUGGAAGCCAAAGAAGAUAAGAAAGCCAGAAGGCUUCUUUGUCCAUAUCUGAAGGCUUUUGGUUUUUGCAAAGACAAAAGGAUCUGUCCUGACCGACACCGUGUUAAUCCAGAAACGGACAUGCCCAGGAAACUGUCCAGCCAAGCCCUACCUUCAUUUGGAUACAUUAAAAUAAUACCUUUUUAUAUUUUGAAUGCAACAAAUUACUUUGGCCGUAUGGUUGAUAAACACAUGGAUCUUUAUGCAACUCUCAAUGCUGAAAUGAAUGAGUAUUUUAAGGAUUCUAAUAAAACAACUGUGGAAAAGGUGGAGAAGUUUGGAUUGUAUGGAUUAGCAGAAAAAACGCUUUUUCACAGGGUUCAGGUGUUGGAAGUGAGCCAAAAAGAAGACGCCUGGGCCCUGGAUGACAUCCUUGUAGAGUUCAUCGACGAAGGCAGGACGGGGCUCGUCACAAGGGACCAGCUGCUGCAUCUCCCAGAACAUUUCCACGCGCUUCCCCCACAGGCUGUGGAGUUUAUUGUCUGUAGGGUGAAACCUGCUGACAACGAAAUGGAAUGGAAUCCGAAGGUUACUAGGUACAUUCAUCAUAAAAUUGUUGGAAAAUUGCAUGAUGCAAAAGUGAUCCUGGCUUUGGGAAAUACAGUUUGGAUUGAUCCAAUGGUGCACAUUACAAACCUUUCCAAUUUAAAAACCUCUGUCAUUGAUUAUAAUGUUCGAGCUGAAAUUUUGUCUAUGGGCAUGGGCAUUGAUAAUCCAGAACACAUAGAACAACUGAAAAAAUUACGUGAAGAUGCUAAGAUACCAGCUUUUGAAGAAAGCCUAAGCCAGACCCCAAAGGAUUGUUGUUAACUUUUUGUUGACAAAUAGCGCACACACAGAAAAGUGCGCACGUCAGACGUGAUGUGUUUCCUGAGCAUACCUGUGUAACCAGCCCAGAUCAAGAAACAGAGCCUGGCUCAGAGCCUCCCCUCCCUCUAGGUACUCCCCCUCCCCAAGAGGAGCCAUUCUCCUGACGUCGAAAAGCAGGGAUGGUUUUCCCCAGUUUUGUACUUUGUUUGAAUGGAAUUAGACAGUAUGCCUCCUCCCCAUAGUGAGUUACAGAAGCUAGGCUCAAAGGAGGCAUAAAUUCUCUAAAUUCUCACAGCUACAUGAUGUUCCUUUGUAUGAAUAUACCAUUAUUUGUUUACCCAUUCUACUGUUGACUGGGGAAAUUUCCAGUUUGGGGUACUUCAAGUAAUGGUGCUUUAAACAUUACCGUACAUGUCUUUUACAAAUAUAUACACUUACAAAUAUAUUUCUGACGGAAUGGGAUUACUGAGUCAUAGUUAGAGUUACUACCCAAUAGUGUUCCAAAGUGGCUGCGCCAGUGUCUUUUCCCAUGGGGGGUAUUAGAGAGACUGUGACAGUCACUCUGAGGAGGGAUCCUGGCAGCUCCAGAGGGGGAAGGAUCUGUAUCAAGAACUCCUUCCAGCCAGGAGGAAAACAGCAGGCACCUGUUAGGAAAGUGGGCAAAAGACCUGAGCAGCCACUUCAGGAUACCUAAUUAUCAUAUGAGAAGGUGCUAGAACUCCCAAGUCAUCAGGGAGACGCAGAUGAAAGCCCAGGGAGUAACACCACAGCACGCCCAGCCCACCAGAGAGGGGAAUGAAAGAAGGAAGGGAAUGAAAGAAGUGUGGGCAGGGAUGAGAGCGGCAGGGCUUCCCAAAACUUGACCAGAGCACUGUUAGCACAGCUAAAAAGGCUCACAGCGAUUCCUUCAAUUGCAUGUGUUUUACUGUGGCAAAAUAAACAUGACAACAGCUGCCAUUUAAACUCUUUUUAAGUGUACAAUUCAGUGGCAUUUAGGACAUUCUCAGUGUUGUGCAACCAUCAUCACUAUCCAUCUCCAGAACUUGCUCAUCAUCCGGACAGAAACUCCAUACUCCUUAAAUAAUAAUUCCAGAGUCCGCCCCACUGCAGCCCCCUACUCUAUUUUGUCUCUACGAAUCUGCCAAUCCUGGGCACUUUAAGUGGAAUCGUCUGCUGUUUGCCCUUUUGUGCCUGGCUUGUCUCAGUGUAAGGUCCUCAAGGUCCACACGUGUUGCAGCUUGAGUCAGAUAUCCUUCCCUUUGCAAAGCUCAUCCUCCAUGGCAUGGAUCACCACAUUUCGCUUCUCCAUUCAUCUUCCUGUGCACACCUGGGCUGCUGCCCCUCUUGACUGUGGGGGAUGUGCUCCUGUGUAUACAGGUGUACAAAUACCUGUUUGAGCCCCUGCCUUCACUUCUCUGGGGUUGCUACUCAGAAGUGGAGCUGCUGGGCCCUGUGGGAAUCCUGUGUAUGAUUUUUGGGGAAGCUCCAUCCAGGUUCCGCAGCAGCUGCCCCAUUGCCUGUUCCAGCAGCCACGCCUGAGGCCUGCAGUUCUCCAUGUCCUCUCCUUGACCCCGCCCAAGGUGCAAACUCCAGGUCUCUUCAGGGCUCUUCCGGGUGUGCCUCUGUGCGCUUGUGCAAUUCUAAAUGGCCCGUACACAUGACUGCUUUUGAACAUCCUAAUUCCCCAGUCUCUUGCUCUCUGCGUCUCCUCUGGCCCAGCCCACCCAGGCAUCUUAGAUCUGUAGGGCCUGGUAGCUUUAGAAGCAGGCCUCUGUCCCAAAAAAAAAAAAAAAAAAAAAAAAAAGUGCUUUUACUCCUGCACUCCAAGCUCUGUCCUCCACUGUCCCCAGACAGGCUCCACAGAUGCACAUGAUUAUUUGCAAAUGAAGUCUGCUCUGCUUCCUCCAGGCCGAGGGUGACAGGGACCAGGCCUGCUCAAGGCCAGGAUCGUCCAUCCGAGGAGCAGGAAGGGCAGGGGACACCUCCUCCAGCAGAAGAUACUGCUUGCCUGCAGAGCCCCCAGCCUGAGGACACGGGUACAGAAGGAGGGG